UCGAGCGGAUGACGGGAGCUUGCUCCUUGAUUCAGCGGCGGACGGGUGAGUAAUGCCUAGGAAUCUGCCUGGUAGUGGGGGACAACGUUUCGAAAGGAACGCUAAUACCGCAUACGUCCUACGGGAGAAAGCAGGGGACCUUCGGGCCUUGCGCUAUCAGAUGAGCCUAGGUCGGAUUAGCUAGUUGGUGGGGUAAUGGCUCACCAAGGCGACGAUCCGUAACUGGUCUGAGAGGAUGAUCAGUCACACUGGAACUGAGACACGGUCCAGACUCCUACGGGAGGCAGCAGUGGGGAAUAUUGGACAAUGGGCGAAAGCCUGAUCCAGCCAUGCCGCGUGUGUGAAGAAGGUCUUCGGAUUGUAAAGCACUUUAAGUUGGGAGGAAGGGCAGUAAGCUAAUACCUUGCUGUUUUGACGUUACCGACAGAAUAAGCACCGGCUAACUCUGUGCCAGCAGCCGCGGUAAUACAGAGGGUGCAAGCGUUAAUCGGAAUUACUGGGCGUAAAGCGCGCGUAGGUGGUUCGUUAAGUUGGAUGUGAAAGCCCCGGGCUCAACCUGGGAACUGCAUCCAAAACUGGCGAGCUAGAGUACGGUAGAGGGUGGUGGAAUUUCCUGUGUAGCGGUGAAAUG
rnacentral:rRNA from 1 species